UACGGGGGGGAGCAAGCGUUGUUCGGAUUUACUGGGCGUAAAGGGCGCGUAGGCGGCCACCGCAAGUCGACUGUGAAAUCUCCGGGCUUAACCCGGAAAGGUCAGCCGAUACUGCAGGGCUAGAGUGCAGAAGGGGCAACUGGAAUUCUCGGUGUAGCGGUGAAAUGCGCAGAGAUCGGGAGGAACACCCGUAGCGAAGGCGGUUCUCUGGGCCGGUACUGACGCUGAGGAGCGAAAGCGUGGGGAGCAAACAGG
rnacentral:rRNA from 1 species